UACGUAGGGUGCAAGCGUUGUCCGGAGUUACUGGGCGUAAAGCGCACGCAGGCGGUCGAUUAAGUUUGGAGUGACAGUUGGUGGCUUAACUGCCAAAGUGCUUUGAAAACUGAUCGACUUGAGGGCUUCAGAGGGACACGGAAUUCCGGGUGGAGUGGUGAAAUGCGUAGAGAUCCGGAGGAACACCGAAGGCGAAGGCAGUGUCCUGGGGAGUACCUGACGCUCAGGUGCGAAAGCCAGGGGAGCAAACGGG
rnacentral:rRNA from 1 species